rnacentral:rRNA from 1 species
GGCUUGCGGGUCUAUACAUGCAGUCGAGCGAACAGAUAAGGAGCUUGCUCCUUUGACGUUAGCGGCGGACGGGUGAGUAACACGUGGGUAACCUACCUAUAAGACUGGGAUAACUUCGGGAAACCGGAGCUAAUACCGGAUAACAUUUGGAACCGCAUGGUUCUAAAGUGAAAGAUGGUUUUGCUAUCACUUAUAGAUGGACCCGCGCCGUAUUAGCUAGUUGGUAAGGUAACGGCUUACCAAGGGCAACGAUACGUAGCCGACCUGAGAGGGUGAUCGGCCACACUGGAACUGAGACACGGUCCAGACUCCUACGGGAGGCAGCAGUAGGGAAUCUUCCGCAAUGGGCGAAAGCCUGACGGAGCAACGCCGCGUGAGUGAUGAAGGGUUUCGGCUCGUAAAACUCUGUUAUUAGGGAAGAACAAAUGUGUAAGUAACUGUGCACAUCUUGACGGUACCUAAUCAGAAAGCCACGGCUAACUACGUGCCAGCAGCCGCGGUAAUACGUAGGUGGCAAGCGUUAUCCGGAAUUAUUGGGCGUAAAGCGCGCGUAGGCGGUUUCUUAAGUCUGAUGUGAAAGCCCACGGCUCAACCGUGGAGGGUCAUUGGAAACUGGGAAACUUGAGUGCAGAAGAGGAAAGUGGAAUUCCAUGUGUAGCGGUGAAAUGCGCAGAGAUAUGGAGGAACACCAGUGGCGAAAGCGACUUUCUGGUCUGUAACUGACGCUGAUGUGCGAAAACGUGGGGGAUCAAACACGAUUAGAUACCCUGGUAGUCCACGCCGUAAACGAUGAGUGCUAAGUGUUAGGGGGGAGUUUUCCGCCCCUUAGUGCUGCAGCUAACGCAUUAAGCACUCCGCCUGGGAGGAGUACGACCGCAGGUUGAAACUCAAAGGAAUUGACGGGGACCCGCACAAGCGGUGGAGCAUGGAUUGGUUUAAUUCGAAGCAACGCGAAGAACCUUACAAAUCUUGACAUCCUUUGAAAACUCUAGAGAUAGAGCCUUCCCUCCUUCGGGGGACAAAGUGACAGGUGGUGCAUGGUUGUCGUCAGCUCGGUGAGAUGUUGGUUAAGUCCCGCAAAACGAGCGAAGCUUAGUUGCCAUCAAGUUGGCACUCUUAACGGUGACAAACCGGAGGGGGUAUGCCUAGCGCGAU